rnacentral:rRNA from 1 species
UUGUCCGGAAUUACUGGGCGUAAAGAGCUCGUAGGUGGUUUGUCGCGUUGUUCGUGAAAUCUCACGGCUUAACUGUGAGCGUGCGGGCGAUACGGGCAGACUAGAGUACUGCAGGGGAGACUGGAAUUCCUGGUGUAGCGGUGGAAUGCGCAGAUAUCAGGAGGAACACCGGUGGCGAAGGCGGGUCUCUGGGCAGUAACUGACGCUGAGGAGCGAAAGCGUGGGGAGCGAACAGGAUUAGAUACCCUGGUAGUCCACGCCGUAAACGGUGGGUACUAGGUGUGGGUUUCCUUCCUUGGGAUCCGUGCCGUAGCUAACGCAUUAAGUACCCCGCCUGGGG